rnacentral:rRNA from 1 species
GUUGACCUCGAAUCAGGUAGGACUACCCGCUGAACUUAAGCAUAUCAAUAAGGGGAGGAAAAGAGACCAACAGGGAUUGCCCCAGUAACGGCGAGUGAAGCGGCAACAGCUCAAAUUUGAAAUCUGGCUCUCAGGGCCCGAGUUGUAAUUUGUAGAGGAUGCUUUUGGCGAGGUGCCUUCCGAGUUCCCUGGAACGGGACGCCACAGAGGGUGAGAGCCCCGUAUGGUCGGACACCGAGCCUCUGUAAAGCUCCUUCGACGAGUCGAGUAGUUUGGGAAUGCUGCUCAAAAUGGGAGGUAUAUGUCUUCUAAAGCUAAAUAUUGGC